rnacentral:rRNA from 1 species
UACGUAGGGUGCAAGCGUUAAUCGGAAUUACUGGGCGUAAAGCGUGCGCAGGCGGUUAUAUAAGUCAGAUGUGAAAUCCCUGGGCUCAACCUAGGAACUGCAUUUGAGACUGUAUGGCUAGAGUGUGUCAGAGGGGGGUAGAAUUCCACGUGUAGCAGUGAAAUGCGUAGAGAUGUGGAGGAAUACCGAUGGCGAAGGCAGCCCCCUGGGAUAACACUGACGCUCAUGCACGAAAGCGUGGGGAGCAAACAGGAUUAGAUA